rnacentral:lncRNA from 1 species
GCCCUGAAGGAGUGAGGGAUGUGACUCCCUUGGCAAGGAUCCUUCAGACGAAAGGGAGUAUGGUGGACUUUCUCCACGUGGAAGCAGGCUCAGAGAUGGACUGUGAAGCCUCCAAGAAGGAUCCCAGGUGUGAAGAAUGAAAUAGUGAGUGGCAAAGUGCUUUGGGAGCUGCGAAGAGUGGUGUCAACAUGAGGACAAGGACAGUCAUGGUGGUUCCACUUUACCCCCUUAGAGCUCAGCCUCCUCUGACAAGACAGAUGUGUUGGGUGCCUGAGUGUCCCCUGCCAUUCCAACUUUUGCUGGAUGAGGAGGUCUCUGCGGGCCCACUUAAGUAGGUCUUCUCAUGUCACCUUCUACUGGUUUCUGGCAAAGCUCCAAGAAUAAAGAAGAAAAGGCAAUCA